rnacentral:tRNA from 1 species
GGGGAGAUGGUGUAACGGUAACACCACAGUCUCCAAAACUGUUGUUCUAGGUUCAAAUCCUAGUCUCCUCG